rnacentral:lncRNA from 13 species
ACUCUGCCUUGAAGGUCAGCAUCCCAGAGUCGCCUCUUCACUGUUGACGUUGAGACCUGACUCAAAUAAUCAACUACUGUAAUCAUUAUCUUCAGUUCAGAAUGCAUUUUGAUUAAUCAGCUGUGUUUGCUAGGGAAGGAGAAAAAGUGUGACAGCAAUCGGGCCCACCCCUGUAAGAGCCCCUUGUUCACCAUUAGAACUGCAGCCUCAUUCAUUCCAACAGUCAUCAAACUCAUGAACAUUCAACAAAGAUAACGCAGCAGCUUUGCUUGCAACCUGACAAAAUUCACAUUGAAAUGCGAGUUACAGAUCUGUAAUCGCUCAUUGAAAGCAAGUCUGAUAAGCAGUCAAUUCGUUCUAAAUGUGCUAUUUCUUUGCUUUUCUGUCCUUAAGUUUUAUUUUUGAGCGCACCGCUUGAAAAAGAAAAGGGACUCGGAUGCAAUAAUUUGUCUUCAUCGGGGUAUAAUGACAAACACUGCAGGUCACUAGUUCAUAUAGUUUGAAAUGACACACACAGGUGUCUGUAAUCAUGGCCGGCUGUAUCUUGAUUUCAUUGUUCGAUUUACAGAUAUAAAUAGAACACAUAAAAAAAGUAUGAAUGGAUGACAUAGGAUCAUAGAUACAAUUUGGCUACAUAGGCCUACAAACAGUAUUUACAAUAGAUAGCAAAAACACAAUUGAAUCGGAGCUGUGCGGCUCUACUUUUCUUUUUCAAGUGUUCUACCAGCUCCUCGUCUAAACAGGUGUGUGUUUCUUCCGCCAUCCAGAUUGUACACACAGUUUGACAGACGAUGGUAUUUUAGGUUAUUGAAAAGAUAUUUCACAGCAUGAUUCUCUACAGCGGUUUAGAUGGAACAAUGAUUCUCUGCAGCGGUUUAGAUGGAACAAUGAUUCUCUACAGCGGUUUAGAUGGAACAAUGAUUCUCUACAGCGGUUUAGAUGGAACAAUGAUUAGACGUAUAUGAGUUAUAGAUCUGUUAUUGUCAUUGAAAGCAAGUUUAAGAAGCGGUAAAUCGGUUCUAUGUGCACUAUUUCUAUACUUCCCAUUCUCAAGUUUAAUUUUUGCAUCUUUAACUUUUGGUUUUGUACACCAGCUUCAAACAGCUGAAAAUACAAUAUUUUUUGGUUAUGGAAAAUCUAUUUCACAGCAGUUUUGAUGGCACAAUGAUUCGCUACACUUUACUUGCUUAUUUUGCCACAUAAACUGAAUUAGGCAAACUAUUAGACAUUUUGCAACCAGGCAAUACGUGGCGAUUUCUACAUAUUGUGCCUUUAAGCAGUGUGUUUUGUGUGUUACCCGGAGGGUGUCUGUUGUUGUGCGUGAUGCUUUGAGAGUGUGUAGUGGGUAUGAUCAUCUCUGACUAGACCUAGUCUUUGUGAGGUUAUGGCACUGAUAGAGGGAGAGUGUGUAUGAGACAAGCUCCAGACA